CGCUAAGUGGACUGAUUUGCUUUGUUCCGAAAAGGAAUGAGAUUGCAACCACGUAAAAAAAUCGCUAAUACCUGUUUA
rfam:Arcticibacter svalbardensis MN12-7 contig00037, whole genome shotgun sequence.